AUGAAACACGAGAUAUAUGCAUGGAUAAGAAUACCAAUUUUUUAAAGUAAAAAUGGAAACUGUUUUGGAUUGGUUUGCCUUGGAUAAAAAGGCUUGAAAUUAAUUUUGAGACUUAAAGGAUCAAAAGGAUGAUUUCAUGAAAUAGUAUUAUAGACGAAAAAAAUGGAUUUCAAAAUAGGGAAAGACUUAAGUAUUUUCAAAUCUUUUGGGGCUCACGCCCAAACCUUAAGUCAUUCAAACAAAGAAGAUAUACUUGAACUUUAGUUUGAAGAAGGGUUUUAAGUGGGAUAUGGUUGACCUUAAAAAAAAUAAAGAAAUUGAAUAAAGUACUAUGAGGCUUUUAUAUCUACUUGUAUAAAUAAUGACAUACUUUCAAAAGAGAUACACUUAUCUGUUGCUAAAAAAGUUUAUAAGGACCAAAGACAUGACAUUGGACCAAAGAGUGGAACUGUACUUAAGAGGAAUCUUAAGUGUAUUUUGGUCCGGAAAUGAAAUAACUUUAAACCCUUAUACAUAUUUUCAAAAGAAAUCUAACUCUUUAUUAAUAAAGGAAUUUUUACCAAUAGGAAAAAUGUUUAUUAUAUGCCAUGUAGUUUUAAAAGAAAGAAACCCAUUUUAGCAAAUAAUUACACUUAAUCACACAUUAAAGCACGAAGUUCAACCGUAUUCUACGGAUCCUUAAUACUAGGGUGCUUAAAACCUUUCCUAGGGGAUCACCAGAAUCCUUACCUCGAACUCCGAUUUUUAAAGGAUUUUUCACUUAUUUGUAUAAACCCUUAACUUGGUUUUCAUAAUUUCCCUCAGUAAAUUAGGUGGCGACUCUAAAAAUACGAAAAUCCAAAUUGAGUCCACAAUCUCGAAGUAGAUUUUAUGCCUCGAGUAAAAGUGAACCGUAACAGAUGGCGACUCCGCAGAGGAUUUUUCUAGGUUCUAACCAUAAGAGUUUCAAUAUAAUGUGAAUUAAUUGUGAUUGUUUGCUUAAUUGUUAACUUUCUUGUAUGUAUAACUUCCAUGGCAUGCAUAUGAUAAAUUCCGCCACCUCUGGCGAAAACUGCAUGUCUUCAAAGAGGACACGCGGGCUAGCGGUCUUGCCUUCACUAAAAAACCCAAAACAUUUCUUUGGAACACAUUGAACGCGGAGUUGGUACGGGGUCUGUCACGCCCCAACUCGGGGAAAGUGCGAGCACCUACUGUUUCCUAUUUGGGUAGGCGAACCCAUCCUUUAUGCAACCAAUCAUGAGGAAAUAACAAAUGAAUAAAUGAAUGAAAACCCCAGGAAUAAUACAAUAAGUCUAACAUAAUAUAUAAAUACUAAGUGCGGAAGAUAAACCAAUCCCAAAAAUCUGGUCUGAUCAUUACAAGAGCUACUAAAUACUACUACAAGUCUGAAUAGUCAAAUACAUCAUCUAAAAUACAUGUUGUCUCGAAAUAGAAAUGGGACAAUAAAGAAGAUAGAGUCGUGGGCUACAUGGAUAAUCCAUAGCUCACCCUUAGAACUCUAGGAACGCCGCCUCGGGAUCAGUCGCGAUGUGUGGAAGUCUCCCUAACAACGAACUCUGCACUCAUAAAAAGAAUACAACAAGUUAGCAUCAGUACAAAACACGGUACUGAGUAAGCAUCAUAGGCCGACAACAGUUAGAUCACGCAUGCAAACAAGGAAACAGAACGAUAAUCUUGCUCACAGACAAAUAUAAGUCAACAAGUACAAAUAAUGUAAUCAAUUACCAAACCAUGUCUCAAAUGUUUCAAAAUUCCAAACAUAACCAAACAAUCAACCAAUAACUCAAAUAUCACCGAAGAUCAAUAUCAAUCCAAAUGACAAUAAGAACAUAUACUAUGAAUGCAUAUGGAAUGCAAUGCAAUGAUACACACAUGCUCUGGGGGUACGAUGUCCACCAAUCGACAGUCAUGACCCAUGGGGGACCGCUAAGUCUAUGUAUCGUCAUCCCGUAUCACACAACCUACAAUAACUUCUCCAUCCAAAUCGUUGCUAACCACUCCGUACCACAUAGCAUAGAGAUGGCUCCCCAAAUAUAGCAAUAUCGCAUGAAUCAUACUUACCUCCGUUAUCACCAUUUUCCAAUAUCAAGACCAAGACAAAUAUAUAUUAUGGAUAUAAGAAGGUAUGCCAUGUAAUGAGAAUAUCAUAAAUAACAUAUGUGUCACACCCUAACCUUGGUAAGGCAUGACUGGCACUCGGCACCCUACGGGAACCGAGUGAACCAACUGUAACUCACGUUUUCUGUAUCUCGAAAGGAAACAAGACCAAGGUACUAUAAGCCAUAGGGGCACAAGCCCAAAAGAUAACAUACUUACUUCUUCAAACUAAUCUCGAGUGCAUGUCCCGGUAAGGCUAUCCUUAAUAAUGAUACAACAUAGUACAAGUCGAGUUAAUUCUAAGAUAUCUAACUGUGCAUAUCUGUCUACGAGCCUCUAUAAGAGUACAUGACAUAAAGUGGCCAGAACAGGGCCCCGCCAUAACCAUUCCAAUGCAUAUGCAGCCAUCCUGACUCACAGGGCAACUCCGAAGCAAAUGAAGCGCCACGACCCUGCUUGCUGAGCUAGUAUCCUUACUGAAAGAUCUGUCAAGCUGUAUCUCAAGACCUUCGGGCAUGAAACGCAGCGCCCCCAGCAAAGGGACGUCAGUACGAGCAAUGUACUGAGUAUUUAAGGCGGAAAGUGCAACAAAAUAGCCAUAUACUAAAGAUGAGAAGAAUAAGAGUCAACCUUGCAUUUUUGAACUACCGAUGGAAAUCUAGCAUAUGUGUACAUACCUCAUCAUCUUCUUGUAAUCUUUACUAGGUCUGUAUACCCUACCAUAGUCCUGGUUACCUUAUCAUCAAACGUUAUCUAAACAUGCGUUGCGGUGUGCAACCCGAUCCAUAUAUGAUACCUAUCGCUCUAUACUCUCGCAUGCUUAACCAAAGCUAUGUACAAUUCUGUGCCUUUAUCUUACUAAUAAUCCAAUACUAACUGCCCAACUGAUCAGUGGUAACUGCCCGACCGGCUGCAGUCCGGUGGUAAUAACCGCCCGUCCGGUUAUCGCCCGACGGUAGAGCGCAACUGCCCGACCGGCCGUAGCACGGUGGUAACUGCCCGACUAGCUGCAGUCCAGUCGUAAAUAUAUACAUCUGCUCAACUAGUCGUAGACCAGUGGUAAUUAUAAUCAACAUCAUAACUAAGCUUCUACAAGUAAUCUCUAUGCACUUCUCAUGGUCUUCACUUAACCCGUAGUGUCUACAUAAUCAUAUAAGCCUUAUAAGCACAUCUAUGGCCAUUAGUACUUCUUUCCACUUGACUAGGCUAUAACCAAAUACUAAGAUCCAACAUGAACCUCUCUUCGAACAUUUACUACCUCAUUAGAGAUCCUCUGCUAUCACUCUACUCAUGUCCUAUAAGGCAUUCCUUAAGAACCUGUUCCUAAACUCAUUAGAUUAUUAUUAUGGAACCGUCAUCAUGAACAUGUCUCACCUUAAAGGAACAAAGUCAUAAGAUGAGAUCAACAUGAAUGAAUAACAUCAAUAGCCAUGAAACAAGCUCAUGGAUAUCACAAGAACAUCGGGAACUGUAAGCUUUGGUACUUUUAGAAAUGAGUUUAUCGAAGAUAUCAUAUAUAGGUUCACAACAAAGGAAUCAUGCCUUAAGAAAGAAAGGUUUAGCCUUAACAUACCUGGAAUCUUGCUCCUUGACCUUCCUACUUAUCUCAUGACUUGUAAUCUACAUAUAAAUUCGUUCAUACUAUUAAUAGGCUCACCAUCAUACACUUGUCUUAAGCCUUUAAUUAAAAUCCCUUUAGAAUCUGCUGAAAUUCGGGCAGCAUCUCCCCUGUUUAUAUGCCUAACCUGAAAUCUCAAUUCAGCAACCAACAAUAACAACAACAACAAUACCAACAUCAACAACAAUAUUAUCAACACCAAAAUAUUCCAUAAACAUCUCACACGAUGUUUUAUCCAAUUUCUCGACCCAUAAAUUCAUUAUACGCUCAUUUAGUAACUUUUCCUCCGUAGAUAAGCUUAAAUCAUUACUAAUAAGGAAAGAUUCAUACCUUUCACCCGUUAGAAUUGCAAUAUCUUCAAUUAUCACCUUGAAUCCAAGACAAGUUUCGCCGCAAUUCGAUAUUACAAUCACAGCUAUGUAUUGUCCAAACUUAAAUUCGGGGAUUUCACUUAAUUUGCAUUGAAAUCUAAUGGACGGAAGUUGGGAGAGUUUUCUAGAGAAUUUGGGAAAUAUUUGGAGUGUUCUAGGCUGAAAAAAUGGGGUUUAGGAUCAGAUUUGAUCCUUAAAUAGUGGGUCAAAUUCGGGUCGGGUCACUGUAGUAUGUCGGUUACUGUAGCAGUUACGGUGGCAGUCCGGUUACUGUAGCAGCGUUUCUGCUCUGUCUGCCUAACUUGUAACGUCCAUAAUUUUUUACUUCAAUGCCAUAUCGACGAGCGGUUUGUUGCGCUGGAAACUAGACAUGACGAAAUUUAUUUUAGGCUUUUACUUUGCUUUAAAAAACCUCAUCUACAAAAUGAUAUUCUUUCUCCAAGUUGGGCUAAAAUUACCCCUCAUAUUCUCUUCCAAGUUCCAACAAAUUUAAUUUCCUUAAUUCACUUGCCCUUUAAUCCUUCCAUAGCUUACUAUAUGCACUUAAACCCUUAUAAUCAUAAGUUAAACACAUAUAGGCUCACAUACCUCCUGAAAGGUAGCUUGCAUCUCAACAUACGAAACUACGGGGUGUAACAAUAUGGAUUCCAGUCAAUUCAUAUUAGUACAGCCAUCAUAGUACAAAUAUCACAUGAAUUAGUUCUUUCUAACCAUUCUUCCAUAAUACAUAGAAACCACCAAUUCUCAUAAGAAAUCCUGGCAUAAACCUAAGGAUUCUACAAUCCACGUGCCCAAACACACAAGUCACACAAUACUACCAACCGAAGAAUUCCAUUCCAAACUUCACACCCGAAGGUUUACAUGAUGUCUCCAACAAUUUCCAUGUACUACAUACAAGUCGCCAAUAGAAGUCUAACCAAAAGGUAAGUCAUAACCUACUUGGACUGCCGAACAGGAAUCCCAAGCAAUCACACGGGUGCCUUGCUCUUCCUCAAUGCCUCCUAUUACACCUCGAAAAGUUUUCGCGUCGUUUAAAUCUUAAGUAAACUAGAGUAAGCUCGGAGAGAUCAUGGCACCCUAAUAAGGUUAAUGAAUAAUCUUAACAAGUGUCAAACAAGUGCCUAAAGGUUCCGAGACUAAGCAAAUCGAAGAAAAUCAAUUUGUCAAAAAAUUAUGAAACAAAGUUGCCAGAAUUUUGGGCAAAUUUUUAGUCAAUUUUGGAGGGGUAUAUUGUUUAUCCCGUAUUUUGUACGUCGAAUUAUUCAUAAGCUAAUCGACAUAAGCUAAGGACGAGACUAUUUUGGGAUGUGAAAUAAAGUGCUUUUAAUCCUCGAUUUUAAUUAGUGCACGAUUUGUUAUAAAUUUCAAUUAGUAUAGAAAUAUUAAUGGAGAUUAGGGAUUAACUAACCAUGAUUAGAUAAUUAAGCAGGGAUUAAGAUUAAUUAAGUUAGCUAAUUAUAUAAUUAAGGUGGGCCCCACCCGAUUCUUUAAUUUAAAAAAAAUACAAAAUAAAACAAAACAAAUUGAUGAGUCAUUAAGGGGGGGCACGUGUCCAAGGGAGGGACACCAUAUAUAAGAUUAGGUUAAUGAUCAACUUAGGUUAUCAUUUUCAUUCUACAAAUUGAAAGCUUAAGAAAAAAAAAACAUUGCCAUGGCUGCUGAGCUCUCGGCUAGCCAUGGUUGUUAAGAAAUUUUUUUUCUUGCUUUGAUUAAUUUUUAAGGAUAUUUUCAAGUCCAAGGAGGUGAUAGCAACAUUGGGUAUUGAAUUGAGGAAGAAGAAAUAGUGAAAUUGGUGCAAGUGGGUAUAGAAUUUGCUCCGAUUAAAUUAAGGUAAGAUUUUCUCAUUUUAUGGUAUAAUUGGAUUAAUGGUGUUGUAAUGGAAAGAUUAAAAUUUUAUUAGAUGAAAUUGGAAGUAAGAAAUUGUAUGAAUUCGUUGAUAUUAGGAGUUGUGGUUGUUAUAUGGAAUUGUUGAGUUGAAAGAUUAAAAGUGUGGUUUAUGUUCAUAUGUUGUUGUCGUGUUGUCGUUGAUAUGGCUUCUAAAUUUGGAAGAAAGAAGUGUAUAACGUAUCGUAUACAAGCGUAUGUUGGUUUGUUUGGUGUAUAAUCUUAAAUGUUAAUGAUUUGGGUUGGAAAAGGAUUAAGAAAGGUUAUUGGGUUGUUUGAGUUGUUUAUGGGCUGGAUUUUAAGGAUUUGAUAUGAAUGUUUCUAUUACUGUUGUUGUUGGUAUUGCUGUGAUAAGAGGAGAUUAAUUGGAAGUUCGGGUUAGGCGAGUUAUAUAGGGGAAAUGCUGCCCGAUUUCCGUUAAGUUCUUAACUAACAAAAAUCCUAAUCAAGAAAGUAUGAACUAAAGAAUGAUUCCUAUAAGCGAUUGGUUGUAGAUUUAUAAGCUAGAAAGUAUAGUUUACUAACAAUAGCGUUACUUUCAUAUUAAAUAGGCUAAAGGGGCGACGAAGCGAACUUGGUUACGGUUAACCUAUAACAUGUAUGUAAAGCUAACCCUUCUUUCUUUUUGGCAUGAUCUUUAUGAAACAAGCAGGCGACAUGUAUAUGAUUCCAAAGAAGUUCCUAUUCUUAGAUCCACUAGGAUGGCUAAUGUUCUUGAUUUCUAGAAGCUAUUUCAUUAUGUCUUGAUACGUGUCUAUGAUUCCAGAAGUUCUAUUUUGAUAUAAUCCAUAGUGACAUUCGAAGGGUACUUGAUAUGAUUAUUGUCUUGAUUAUCAAAUGAUGGUUCAUUUUGAUUAUUCUAUUGAGUCUCAGAUAUGAUUUAGUUUGCAUAUGGUUUCUCACUACUCUGCUUAUGCAUGCCUCAAUAUGUCUUUCACCAAGUCCCGGGCCGGGUAUGUUAUCGUGCACAGUUUCACUGCAUUGUUCACCGAGUCCCUCACUAGAGGGCCGGGUACGGUAUAUAUAUAUAUAUAUAUGAUGAUAUGAUGACAUGAUGAUAUGAUGAUAUGAUGAUAUGAUGAUGUGAUUAUGGCGCCAAGGAUGGCAUAUGAUGACUUUAUUCACCGAGUCCCAUAAUGGGCCGGGUAUGAUAUAUGAUAUUGACAUGCAUGAUUUACAUCUCAUAAGGCAAGUGUAAUGGUAUCUUUGAUUGACAUACUUGUCUCUUGUAAUCUCUAUUUCAGUGAUGAUCCUUUUUAUUGUAUUUCAUGCUGUAUAUACUCAGUACAUAUCUCGUACUGACCCCCUUUCUUCGGGGGGCUGCAUUUCAUGCCCGCAGGUAACGACACUCGAUUCAGUGAUCCCCAGCUUAGGAUUUCCAGUCAGCUGUCUUCGAGAGCUCCAUUGUCCCGGAGCCUAGACUUUUGGUAGGUGCAGAUUGGCGAGAGAUGAAAAGGUCAGCUUCAGAUAGUGGGGGUGCUAAGAAGGCCCCUAGAGUAAAUUCAGGACUCCAGGCUCCAGGAUCGAGCAGGAGGAGCCUCAGUUAUUCUAUCGAGACUGACCCAUCGGAGGACCCAGUGACAAUUCCUCCAGAAUUUUUGAUAUCUAGGGAGGCGAUCCCCGAGGCCAUACCAGUUGCUCCUAUGGAAGAGCAUCACGUUAGACCGGGUACCCCAGUAAGUGUUGCAGAUUACUCCAGCCCCCUAUCCUAGCCAUCGGUAAACUAGGAGUUGCCCGGUUAUCUACAUUCGUCGGACUCAGAUGAGGAAGACGAUAAAGGCCAGACGAGUAGAUGGCGGGCAGACGAUGACGAGUAGCACACUUCACCUCCUAGAUCACCAGAUCAGAUUAGAGAUCGAUCAACCAGAGGUAUACGAGACUUUAUUGAAAUCUCCUGUGUAUGUACAUUUGCUAUAGAUUAUUAACUAAUAGCGGCAAGCGGAAAUUGAAGGGGCCGACAACUAAGUAUUUAUAAGUAACGGCGACCAAGGUGUUUCCAUCACCAUCGGAAUUUUGAAAUCUAGGGUAGAAAGUAGACGUACGUACAGGUGUAAGUUGAAUAUUGAGGUUACGUCAUGAGAAUUUCUAUGUACAAAAUGGCAAACUGGCCAUCAUCAUGGUAAGUUAUUGUAAGUAUAGUAAGAAAAUGGAUUGAAUGUAUAUAUAUUGUUGAUAAGUUCAGUUAUAAGGUGCGCACAGAGGAAGCUGAAGGAAUCAGUAACGGUAAGCAGAAUAUAUGUCAGAUAUAGUGUGAAUGUUGCAAGUAUGAUUGAAAUCUGCAGUUAAAGAUUGAAAGGGAAAGUAAACAGGAAAGUAUAAUAGGUACAGUUCGAGUUGGACAUACGAGGUAAGUUCAUCAUUUUCAUACUGUUAUUGAUAUGUGGAGCCCUGUGCAGCUAUGAUACGAUAUGAUAUAUACAUAUAUAUGUUGGCCCUGUGAGGCAUUGUUGGUAUUUCCUGUGUGCAGGUUUUGGGAUAAGUAAGAAAUACAGAGGAAACUCUGCCAAAAUUUUCCUAGAAAUAAAAAGAGAAUGAGAUAUUAGUUCGUGAUAUUCUUGAAAGGUCGUGUCAACAGUAAUGAUAAGAUUUGACUAAGUUGCAAGUACGUCUGACUUCGAGAAAUAAAGUUAACGGUUGAAUUAAUAGUAAAGGUAAUUAUGAGAUCGAGAUCAAUAGGGUAAAUUUAUCAUGUUGGAUUAAAGCUUUUAGAGAUACCCUCCAUGUCAUCCGUAAGAGACAUCACUCUUAUUUGGGAAACUUGAUUUCAAAGAAGCAAAUAUGAGCAGCAGAGUUUGGAAUUCAUGUGAACGGACAAGAAUACUUUCCAGCCACAAUUUUACCUUAGAAAAAGCUCAUGUGGAAGAGCAAAGACGUCCAACAAUUAAGUUUCACUUUUAUUUGAAGAAUACAAAGCAUACAGCAAGUAGACUAUGAACUAAAUAGUUCAUUCACGACCCAAGAACAAAUCUGGAUGUAAGCCAUGUGAAUCAAGCAUUAGAAAGUCCCGUGGUGCUUGUCGGAUUCUAGUUCUUCUUCUUGUGGUGGUUUUGGAAGAUGCUUCAUGGUGACGUAAUUUAGGAGUUGGAGCGUUCUUGUGUUCUUGAGAUAACAUUUCAUCAUAUCUUUAUGUCCUUGAGUUUAUUAGUUCUUAAUCAACUAAUUGAAGAUGGAAUUUGUAGAAGGAAAACUCAAACUUGUGGGCUGUCUUAGAUCAUGUGUUUCAUGUGUUGUUAAUGAAAUGCUUGGAUAAAUUGGGAAGAGCUUGUGAUACUAAGGGAUGAUGUAGAAAGAGUUGGCAAAUCUUACCAGAAUGUUUUAUUGAGGUAUCGAGUGAACUGAUAACUAGGGAUAAAUUACGACGAGUUUACGGUUAAAAGGAGUAAUAGUAUGAUUGAGAAUUUAGAACGACUACAAGUACUAAAUAAUUAUUGAUUGGAGUAAGUGGAAUGUGGCCUUGGAUGAGUUGCUACAUUGGUUGGAUUACUCGAGUACGAAUUAUCACAUAAGAUUUUAUACUAUAUGUGGAAAGGUUCUCAUCGCUUCACGAUUUUGUUAAGGUUUCGUGGAUAAUCAAAGUUAUAUAUUAUAAAGAAAGACAUUAGUAUGGUACAGUAUACCGAGUGAAUUGGAAGAAGGAUCGGGUGAAUUUGAGAUUGGAAAUAGGGAUAUUUAGCAGAAUAUAAACAGAUAAUGGUAUAAGUACAACCCCAAAGGGGGAAGUGGGUGAAAGCAAAGCAAGUAUAAAUGGAAACAAUUGACACUACAAUAUAUUUAAUAUAGAUGCUCAAACAUCAAGUGAGAUCCCAUGCUGAAACAAGUUAGUAAGAUCUGAAAGCCAGCAAUGAAUGGAUAGAAAUCAGGAUGAUAUUUAAGAUGGUGCGGAGAAGCAUCUGUAAAGAUCUUAAAUGAUAUGGCAUUAGAAAGUGGGUGCUUAUAAAAAGGAAGAAUACGACAAGAAAAUGGUAACGAGUAACUUAAGAGAUAUUGUAAAGGAUAGCAAUGCUAUACUGGAUUAGAUGUUAAGAUGUUGGCAACGGAGUGUUUGCUAAUGGUAUUGUGACUUAUAAGUAGCAAAAGGAAGGGAUAGAAAAUAUCCUACAGUAGAAUAUGAGAAAAUCAAAGGGGUGAAUAAAGGAAGGAAAGGAGUAUGAUAAGAUAGGCUACGAGCGAGUUUUAAUACGGAUGAGAUAUGUAAAGCAGAAUGAACCGGGAGGAGGAAAAGCUAGAACUAAGAUUGGAUAUAUUUUAUACAAGUUAUACAAGAAUAGUUAAACAACCUACGAGUAUUUGUAUGCUAAGAAUGAGACCAAGUGAGUAAUUGAUAAGAAUGAGUAAGGAUUCAGUAAUAACAAUGCGGUUGCGAUAUUUUGGAUACAUUAAGGAAAGGUAUAAGAUGGUUUGAACCAAAGUACCGAGAUAGGAUUAGUACUGAGGGAAAAAGCCAUAGUUGAGCCCCGAUAUCAAUUGAAAGAUACAUGAGAAGAAUGUAAGGUCUGCAUAAAGACUACUGAGACGACGCUAAGAAAUCUCUUGGGCUCAUUUCAGCACUUACGCAUAUUCUGACGCGUGAUAGGGGGACUAAGAGCAAAAUCUGAGUAAAGGGGCAAUAGAAGAGUUUGAAGUAAAAGAUAAAGAAAUGACACGAGAUAAUAUGCCUAAAGUGUUAUAAGUUGGAUUAAGGGAAAUGGUCUAAGCGAGACGAUCAGAACAAGCGGGUUACUAGAUGACAGUGAAUUUAUAUGUCAAAUCAAAAGAAAUUCUUUCAGAAUUAUACCAGGUAAUGAUAGUCAGAUCACAGAGCAGCUAUGUAAAGUUAUAAAAUGAGGAAACUCCAGCGCUACUUGAUAGCCAACUCUAAGGAUUGAGAUUAAGAGCUAAAAGCAAAGUGACAGUUAAAAACCUUUAAAAGAAAGUCGAAGAGUGACACAUGAUGCUGAAGAUUCCAGAAUACGGACUGUAACAUCAGAGCAAAGCAAGGUUAUUGGAGUAAAAUGAUGUUACACCUUGAGAAAUUUCAUUUUAUUCGUAGAGUCUGUGAAGGGUUUACAGGUUACCAGAGGCAUGAAAUACUCCAAGGAUUGUAAAGACUAAUAAAUCAACGAGGAACGUCUGAGCAUUAUAAAAUCUUAUUUAAAGAUUAAGAGGUAAGAUGAAAUGAACGAUACAUCUUAAGGGAGUAACUAUAGGAGAAGAAAGAGAGCCAAGUUACGACUAAGAGCACCAUGAAUACAAGUUAGAAUCAAUCUGUGCUAGUAUAACUGAGCAGUAUGCAGACAAGACAGAAAGUAACAUUUCAGCAGAAGAGCUGGCAAUACAACUGUCAACCAUAAAGACAACGACGUGGAAUUACUACCUCGGGAAGCAACAUAAAGAGGAAAAAUUACGGAAAUGGUUACUUGGGGAUCUGGAAUGCAUUAUAACAAAUUGAAGGGAAUCGACCGAUGAAAGAGUCAUGUGAAGAGUAUAAUUCAGUGAAAGAAUGUUUAAGGAAGUAUUGGGAGUGCAAGAUUAGUAUAACAUUCGAGGACGAAUGUUCCAAAGGGGGGAAGAAUGUUAUACGCCGUAUUUUGUACGUCGAAUUAUUCGUAAGCUAAUCGACAUAAGCUAAGGACGAGACUAUUUUGGGAUGUGAAAUAAAGUGCUUUUAAUCCUCGAUUUUAAUUAGUGCACGAUUUGUUAUAAAUUUCAAUUAGUAUAGAAAUAUUAAUGGAGAUUAGGGAUUGACUAACCAUGAUUAGAUUAUUAAGCAGGGAUUAAGAUUAAUUAAGUUAGCUAAUUAUAUAAUUAAGGUGGGCCCCACCCGAUUCUUUAAUUAAAAAAAUACAAAAUAAAACAAAACAAAUUGAUGAGUCAUUACGGAGGGGGGCAAGUGAGUAUAGAAUUUGCUCCGAUUAAAUUAAGGUAAGAUUUUCUCAUUUUAUGGUAUAAUUGGAUUAAUGGUGUUGUAAUGGAAAGAUUAAAAUUGUAUUAGAUGAAAUUGGAAGUAAGAAAUUGUAUGAAUUCGUUGAUAUUAGGAGUUGUGGUUGUUAUAUGGAAUUGUUGAGUUGAAAGAUUAAAAGUGUGGUUUAUGUUCAUAUGUUGUUGUCGUGUUGUCGUUGAUAUGGCUUCUAAAUUUGGAAGAAAGAAGUGUAUAACGUAUCGUAUACAAGCGUAUGUUGGUCUGUUUGGUGUAUAAUCUUAAAUGUUAAUGAUUUGGGUUUGAAAAGGAUUAACAAAGGUUAUUGGGUUGUUUGAGUUGUUUAUGGGUUGGAUUUUAAGGAUUCAAUAUGAAUAUUUCUAAUAAUAUUGUUUUUGGUAUUGCUGUGAUAACAGGAGAUUAAUUGGAAGUUCGGGUUAGGCGAGUUAUAUAGGGGAAAUACUGUCGGAUUUCCGUUAAGUUCUUAACUAACAAAAAUCCUAAUCAAGAAAGUAUGAACUAAAGAAUGAUUCCUAUAAGCGAUUGGUUGUAGAUUUAUAAGCUAGAAAGUAUAGUUUACUAACAAUAGCGUUACUUUCAUAUUAAAUAGGCUAAAGGGGCGACGAAGCGAACUUGGUUACGGUUAACCUAUAACAGGUAUGUAAAGCUAACCCUUCUUUCUUUUUUGCAUGAUCUUUAUGAAACAAAUAGACGGCAUGUAUAUGAUUCCAAAGAAUUUCCUAUUAUUAGAGCCACUAGGAUGGCUAAUGUUCUUGAUUUCCAGAAGUUAUUUCAUUAUGUCUUGAUACGUGUCUAUGAUUCCAGAAGAUCUAUUUUGAUAUAAUCCAUAGUGACAUUCGAAGGGUACUUGAUAUGAUUAUUGUCUUGAUUAUCAAAUGAUGGUUCAUUUUGAUUAUUCUAUUGAGUCUCAGAUAUGACUUAGUUUGCAUAUGGUUUCUCCCUACUCUGCUCGUGCACGCCUCAAUAUGUCUUUCACCGAGUCCCGGGCCGGGUAUGUUAUCAUGCACAGUUUCACUGCAUUGUUCACCGAGUCCCUCACUAGAGGGCCGGGUACGGUAUAUAUAUAUAUAUAUGAUGAUAUGAUGACAUGAUGAUAUGAUGAUAUGAUGAUAUGAUGAUGUGAUUAUGGCGCCAAGGAUGGCAUAUGAUGACUUUAUUCACCGAGUCCCAUAAUGGGCCGGGUAUGAUAUAUGAUAUUGACAUGCAUGAUUUACAUCUCAUAAGGCAAGUGUAAUGGUAUCUUUGAUUGACAUACUUGUCUCCUGUAAUAUCUAUUUCAGUGAUGAUCGUUUUUAUUGUAUUUCAUGCUUUAUAUACUCAGUACAUAUCUCGUACUGACCCCCUUUCUUCGGGGGGGGGGGGGGUGCGUUUCAUGCCCGCAGGUACAAACACUCAAUUCGGUGAUCCCCCAGCUUAGGAUUUCUAGUCAGCUGUCUUGGAGAGCUCCAUUGUCCCGGAGCCUAGAAUUUUGGUACAAGAUCUUUUGAUGUAUAUAUAUAUAUAUAUAUAUGUUUAUCCAGGGGUACGACGGGGCCCUAUCCCAUCAUAUUUCACUAUCGAUACUCUUAGAGGUUUGUAGACAUACGUGUGGGUUGUGUAUAAGUUUGUACAGCUGUGUCUAUACGAUGUGCUAUGGAUAUGCCCUUCUGUAAUAGCAUCCUUGUCGGCUUGCGUAUCAUGUUGAUAUAUUGUGGCAGCCUUGUCGGCUUGCAUAUCAUAUUAUGUUCUGAUCAGUUGUGACUCCCCAGGAGACCGGUUAUUUGGAUAUAUGUACAUAUGAUGGUGUUAUGAA